rnacentral:rRNA from 1 species
CCUACGGGUGGCAGCAGUGAGGAAUAUUGGUCAAUGGGCGGGAGCCUGAACCAGCCAAGUCGCGUGAGGGAAGAAGGUACAGCGUAUUGUAAACCUCUUUUGCCAGGGAACAAAGGCGGGGACUUGUCCCCGGACGAGGGUACCUGAAGAAAAAGCAUCGGCUAACUCCGUGCCAGCAGCCGCGGUAAUACGGAGGAUGCGAGCGUUAUCCGGAUUUAUGGGGUUGAACGGGUGCGCAGGCGGCCGGUUAAGUCAGCGGUAAAAGCGCGGGGCGCAACCCCGACGAGCCGUUGAAACUGGCGGGAUAGAGUUGGAGAGAAGUACGCGGAAUGCGCGGUGUAGCGGUGAAAUGCUUAGAUAUCGCGCAGAACCCCGAUUGCGAAGGCAGCGUACCGGCGCCACACUGACGCUGAGGCACGAAAGCGUGGGUAUCGAACAGGAUUAGAUACCCGGGUAGUC